rnacentral:rRNA from 1 species
AGAGUUUGAUCCUGGCUCAGAUUGAACGCUGGCGGCAUGCCUUACACAUGCAAGUCGAACGGCAGCGCGGGAGCAAUCCUGGCGGCGAGUGGCGAACGGGUGAGUAAUAUAUCGGAACGUGCCCAGUAGUGGGGGAUAGCCCGGCGAAAGCCGGAUUAAUACCGCAUGAGACCUGAGGGUGAAAGCGGGGGAUCGCAAGACCUCGCGCUAUUGGAGCGGCCGAUAUCAGAUUAGCUAGUUGGUGGGGUAAAGGCCUACCAAGGCAACGAUCUGUAGUUGGUCUGAGAGGACGACCAGCCACACUGGGACUGAGACACGGCCCAGACUCCUACGGGAGGCAGCAG